ACGUGACAUAGUAUCAUGUUGAACUCACCUGAUCUUCUCUGGCUUCAGAAGGUAAGCAGGGUUAGGCCUAGUUAAUAUUUGGAUGGGAUACCACCACAUAAUCGUAGAAUGUCUAGCU
rnacentral:rRNA from 1 species